GCCGGGGUAGCUCAGUUGGUAAGAGCGCAUCACUCAUAACGAUGAGGUCGCGAGUUCGAUUCUCGCCCUCGGCA
rnacentral:tRNA from 1 species